AAGCGGCUAUAACAAAAUCAAAACCGACCCUUCCACCCACAUUUCGACGACAUCUAUUUUCUCUCCAAACCAAACCAUAACCUCUCUAUUCUCUAUUCUUUCUCGCUCUUCUCUCUCACCGUCGACCACACUCAGAAUCAGAACUUGACUGCCAAGGCAAACACCAAUACAACGGAGAAAUGAACAGCUCAAGUGAAAAUCAAUGGCGAAUUCAUCGUCUUCACCAUCAUCUUCUUCAACCUUGUUGUCGGCUAUGGCGGCAACAUCCGAUAAAGAUAAAGAAGAUAUACUGGAAAGAAUGCUUACCAACUUAGCUUUUUCCUCGCGCUAUCUUACUCGCCAAGCUUCUUCCUCGCGCUAUCGCUGCUCUCUCUUCUCAAUCUACUUCAAUUCGAUUAUUCGAACAAGGUCCUUUAACACUUUAUUCGUUCAAUUCUGUAUUUCUUUCAUUUUUGUUGAAUUUUGAUUUGAUUUCGUAUUUGUGUGUUGCGGCGGAUUGAGUUAUUUUGUUUCUGAGUUUUUUGGAUUAUUUUGUGUUGUGAAUGUUAGGGUUUUUGCUACUACUGAUGAAAUUAAUCGAAUUUUCAAUGAAUUAAGGUGUUUUGAAUUGUUAUAUUUGAUUACUUGAUGAUUAAGCAUGGUUGUAGUGACAAUGAUUAAGCAUGGUUGUAGUGACAAUUGUUAUAGUUGAAUUGUUAAAUUGUAGUGUUGGUAAAAGUGGACAAUUAAGUGAUAGAGCGUUGCUUCUCCUUGAGAAGUGUGUGUUUAGGAUUGGAGUUCAAUGUCGAAUAUCCAGUGAUGCUAGUUCAUAACAAAUUGGAUAUCUAAUUCUGAAUGUUCUGUAUUAGAUCAUGAAUGUUGGAUAAUGAAAUCAAUAUUUCACCACUAUAAAUAGCUAAUAGAUGAUGUUCAAUUGCAACCAGGAAAUGUUAUGAACAAGGAAGCGACUAUUAGUAGUAUGUAUUAGGAAUUUCUCACCAAUGUCAAGACUAUUCAUUUACAAGGACAGGUUAUUCAUUUACAAGACUAUUCUGUACAUGAAGGUUUUGGUUUGGAUGACUGAUCAUACAUUUAGAGUGAUAUGUGAGUUAAUUGUAUAGAGACUAACUAAAGGCAACUAGAUAGGUGAAAAAUUGGUAAAUGUAACUUUUAUGAGUUCAGAUUUAUCCUCGAGUAAGGAGAUCAUUAGAAUAAUUGAUAUGUCAUCUCUAUUUGAAGUCUCAUAUUGUUUGAUUAUGCUUAUAGAAAUGAUGGUACUCUGCUCUUCUGCUAUUAAAGGAACAGUUAGUAAGGGUGUCUAAGCAUAUCUAAACAUAAGAUGCCAAAAGGGUGUCUUUUGUUAGUUGAUUGUAGUACAGGUUGGUUCCAUACACACAACUUUGAUGCUUUUAAACAUGAAAUGUGGGAUCUUUAAUUAUUUAGAUCUUCAGAGUAUUGCUCGAUUAGCUAGAAAGUGUCUAAUUAUGAUUUUAGAAUGAUUGAUGUGUUGUUGCUCCUUGAAUUAGGUACUUGAAAUUUUGAGUCAUAUAAAUAAGCGCGUGAAGCAUGAGCCAGGAAUUGGCUUGCCAUUAUCCGAAUUAUGGAGUAUGUAUACAGAAGCAACCGCUGCUGCAAUGGUCCGGAAUUUUUGCAUCAUUUACAUUGAGAUGGCAUUUGAGCGCUCAGAGAUAGAGGUCCAGAAAAGUAUGGCUCCCAAAUUUUUGGUAGACAUUUCGAAGCUUCCUCCUCAGCAUCAAGCAAUAAUUCUUAGAGCUUGUGUAAAGGUCAUUGAUGAAGCUCAUUCUCGCAAAUUUGACGAUGAAAUUGCUGCAAAGUAUAGACUGAUGAGAGGUUCUCAGGACUGUGAAAUAUUUGUUGAAUUUUGCCUGCAUACAGUUUUGUACCAACCAUCUCAAAUGUAUAUUUCUAGUGACUCUUAAAUGGGUUAUGAGAUUUGCGUUUGAGUUUCAGAUUUGAAGUUGGUUUCGAUCCAGAUACCAGAUUUGAAGUCCGUUUUGUUCCAGAUUUUUGUUGUGGACUUUAAAUUAGUGUACAUGUAAUUAUAUGAGAUUUGUAUUAGAUUUUGUGCUAAGUAUACUAGAAUUUAGUACUAGAAUUAUUUUUUUACUUGUAUCUACAUUUAUUAUCAAUAAUAAUUGAAUUGAUUAA